AACGAACGUUAGCGGCGCGCCUAACACAUGCAAGUCGUGCGAGAAAGGGCUUCGGCCCCGGUACAGCGGCGCACGGGUGAGUAACACGUGGGUGAUCUACCCCUCAGUGGCGGAUAACCCUCCGAAAGGAGGGCUAAUACGGCAUGAGACCACGAUGCUACGGCAUCGGGGUCAAAGCAGGCCUCUUGAUCAAAGCUUGCGCUGAAGGAUGAGCCCGCGGCCCAGCAGGUAGUUGGUGAGGUAAUGGCCCACCAAGCCCAAGACGGGUAGCUGGUCUGAGAGGAUGAACAGCCACACUGGAACUGAGACACGGUCCAGACUCCUACGGGAGGCAGCAGUGGGGAAUCUUGCGCAAUGGGCGAAAGCCUGACGCAGCGACGCCGCGUGAGCGAUGAAGGCCCUCGGGUUGUAAAGCUCUGUGGGGAGGGACGAAUAAGGUGAAGCUAACACCUUCACUGAUGACGGUACCUCCUUAGCAAGCACCGGCUAACUCUGUGCCAGCAGCCGCCGUAAUAC
rnacentral:rRNA from 1 species